rnacentral:misc_RNA from 1 species
AAAAAAAAACGAUAAUUGAAACCAAUUAUACACUUUUAACGGGCACUUAUCCAGUGCCCGGCUACAUUCAAAACUCAGGUAAUCAUGUCACUAAAAUUAAACCAUAUUGAAGAAGCUUGAAUAGAUAAACUGAUUAAUACCAUCACCCAUUGAGUUAGGGGGUAUAAUUACUCUACAUUCAUACAUCUGAAUUCUGAAAGCAUAAAUGCCUGAGAAAACAGGAUUUUGUGAACACCGACCAGCAACAAAAAUAACCAACUCUCCAUACAACGACUAGACGAGGAGUGAACCGGCAAAAUUAUCUGAAUCCAUAUAUUUGUACGAGAUGUGUGUGCUGGCACUCAAAGUACACAAUAAAGAAAAGCUAUUCUUUUUU